rnacentral:rRNA from 1 species
AAGCGGUGGAUGAUGUGGAUUAAUUCGAUGCAACGCGAAAACCUUACCUACCCUUGACAUGUCCGGAAUCCCGAAGAGAUUUGGAGUGCUCGCAAGAGAACCGGAACACAGGUGCUGCAUGGCUGUCGUCAGCUCGUGUCGUGAGAUGUUGGGUUAAGUCCCGCAACGAGCGCAACCCUUGUCAUUAGUUGCUACGAAAGGGCACUCUAAUGAGACUGCCGGUGACAAACCCGGAGGAAAGGUGGGGAUGACGUCAAGUCCUCAUGGCCCUUAUAGGUGGGGCUACACACGUCAUACAAUGGCUGGUACAAAGGGUUGCCAACCCGCGAGGGGGAGCCAAUCCCAUAAAGCCAGUCGUAGUCCGGAUCGCAGUCUGCAACUCGACUGCGUGAAGUCGGAAUCGCUAGUAAUCGUGGAUCAGCAUGUCACGGUGAAUACGUUCCCGGGUCUU